GCGAAUGCGAAAAAGAAUGCCAUAUAUGCUGUUCAUCUAGAGUAUGGCCUGAACCCAAUGGCAACCCAUAUGGAUUACAUAGCUGAAUUUACAGUUACAAUGCCAAUUUUGAGUUUCACUGGAACAAGUGAUUUACAGCCUCAUGGUGAACAGAUUGUUCAGGUGUACUGUGUACAGACGCAGGCUAUUCAGCAGUACGCUUUGGACCUAUCCCAAUGCUUGCCUCCUCCCAUGGAGAAUGGUGUGGGCUUCGAAAGGACAGAAUCUAAUGUAUCACGUGAUGCUGCUAAUAUUGAAGGAUAUGUUCCUGUUGAUCCUCCUGGUAGUAAACAAAUGGAUU
rnacentral:misc_RNA from 1 species